GAAAUCCCCGAGCUCAACUNGGGAACUGCGUAUGAAACUAUUCAAGACUAGAAUAUGUCAGAGGGGGGUAGAAUUCCACGUGUAGACAGUGAAAUGCGUAGAGAUGUGGAGGAAUACCAAUGGCGAANGCAGCCCCCUGGGAUAAUAUUGACGCUCAUGCACGAAAGCGUGGGGAGCAAACAGGAUUAGAUACCCUGGNAGUCCACGCCCUAAACGAUGUCUACUAGUGGUUGGUGGAGUAAAAUCCAUGAGUAACGCAGCUAACGCGUGAAGUAGACCGCCNUGGGGAGUACGGUCCGCAAGAUUAUUACUCAAAUGAAUUG
rnacentral:rRNA from 1 species